UUGACCCUUUCGACCUCAAAUC
rnacentral:rRNA from 1 species